UCCAAAAGAAAGUCACUAAAAGAAUGACUAAAUUUUGUUUAGAUUAAACACAUUUGAAAAAGAAUUACUGAGUUUGUUUCUUGCGUCCAAACUCAACAUUUCUAAGCAAAAUAAAAAUGUGAAACAAAUUGACUUUCUACCCAAAUACCGUAUACCAUGGAAAAACGAAUUUUGUUGAUGCAGCACAAAAUGCACAGUGUAUACUUUCUUCUGGACAUUAGUAUAGUAUGCGUGAAUGUAACACUAAAAUCCCCUGCAAUUUUGAACUAGUACGAAUAUAGGGUUCUGAAUGGACUAUCAGAAGGAAAUAAGGCAAUAAAGGCAAUUUACUUAAGAAUUUUCUCAAGCUAAAAAUAAAUUCGGGAAUGUUUAAACUGACCAGAAAAAGAUCGGGCAAUUCCAGUUCGGGACAAUUUACAAUGUACAAGGACAUGGGUGCAUCUUAAGACAGUUUUAGUAAACUGUAGGGCUAAACAUGCAGAUAAGGCCUUCGGUCUAAUUCUGAAUGGGAAUUUUGUGUAGUGAAGUGAAGGUUGACCAAUGAGAUAUUUUAACUAUGUUAGUGUACAUGGCAGUAGCUAUGAGAGUAUUUCGGCUCAGGGUAAGCAAAGCUAUAAGCAAUUUGAUUGGUCAAGACUUUGGAACAUAACAAUUCUACUUUUAAUUGAGGUAUCGAUGUUCAUUAAGUGGAUGUCUUGAGUGUGUUCAAUGAUUAAUAUUUCCCGUUAGGGCGAAGCAGAGCGAAGUAAUUUCUUUGGUCGAUGCUUUGAGACCAGAUAACUUUGAUUCUAACUGAUAAAGAGUGAUGAAACUUAGUGUAUAGGUUCACUCACUAACAGGUACUCCAAAACCUGAGUUUGAUAGUGAACAUUUUAUGCUUAGACUAAGCGUAGAUAAACAGUUUGAUUUCUCGAUACUUUUUAAAAAUACAAAUGUGCAAUUAACCUCACUGUUGGCUUGUUAAAUAUUAUGAUUUAUUUAUAUUUAUUAGGAGGAGAUUUGGAGAAAAAUACAGCUCCUUAAGCAACGAUGAGACACAAGAAUGAAUUGAUGGUUGAUGUAUAAGUUGAAAAAAUCGAACUAUUUGUAAAGACUUCAGCAGAAGUGAAAUGACCCCCCAAAAGACUUUGAGAAAUCAGUUUCAAAUUACCAGUUAACUGAAUUGCAACAUUUUUCCUAAACCAUUUCUAUGUCCAUUACGAUUGAUUAGCGUAUCUAGUUGGGAACCAAAAUCAUGGAAAGUGUGAUGGCUUAAUAGAUAUUUGGUUUUUAAUUUGGGAAAUUGGAAGAAACCCCUAAAGGAAAGACAAUGUUUAUUUCUGAUUCCCAUUUGGAAAAGUUUGACAGAGUUUUAAAUUUCAGGGCUAAUAAAGAUGGAAGAGUAGUUUGAAAUCUGUACAAUGUGGUGAGGUAGCCCCAUAAUGAAACCUGUAUAUUGUGGUGAAGUAACGUAUUUUCUCCAGAGACAGCUGUGGCUAUUAUAAUACUAUAGGGCCUAUAUACAGAGUUUAUUUAUCUGUAAAAUGUUCUUGUUAAUGUAUUGAAGUCGUUAGCUAGUACCAGUGACAACAAAAACUAGACUAACAAGAAUAUGUCUGGUAGUUUAAAAUCAGGCACUGACAUCAUCGUCUGAUAAUCAAAAUAUGGUAAUCCCAUGCGUUAGAAACGUGGUUAGCCGCCCUCCUAGGUGCCCAUAUAAGUACACUGUGUUGAAAUCCGGGAUAGCGUAUGUGCAGCUGACCAAUUUGAUAAAGGUAGUACCUGGUCAAUUUCCCGGGGCUCAAUACAUGACUCACGUACAUAAGCUCUUUAUAAAGAACGUUC